rnacentral:rRNA from 1 species
GGGAUGGGUAGGGGAGCGUCGUGUGCCGGGUGAAGCAGCCGCGGAAGCGAGUUGUGGACGGUUCACGAGUGAGAAUGCAGGCAUGAGUAGCGAUACACACGUGAGAAACGUGUGCGCCGAUUGACUAAGGGUUCCUGGGUCAAGCUGAUCUGCCCAGGGUAAGUCGGGACCUAAGGCGAGGCCGACAGGCGUAGUCGAUGGACAACCGGUUGAUAUUCCGGUACCCGCUUUGAAACGCCCAGUACUGAAUCAGGCGAUGCUAAGUCCGUGAAGCCGGCCCGAUCUCUUCGGAGUUGAGGGUAGUGGUGGAGCCGAUGAACCAGACUUGUAGUAGGUAAGCGAUGGGGUGACGCAGGAAGGUAGUCCAGCCCGGGCGGUGGUUGUCCCGGGGUAAGGGUGUAGGACGCACGGUAGGCAAAUCCGUCGUGCAUAUAAGUCUGAGACCUGAUGCCGAGCCGAUUGUGGUGAAGUGGAUGAUCCUAUGCUGUCGAGAAAAGCCUCUAGCGAGUUUCAUGGCGGCCCGUACCCUAAACCGACUCAGGUGGUCAGGUAGAGAAUACCGAGGCGUUCGGGUGAACUAUGGUUAAGGAACUCGGCAAAAUGCCCCCGUAACUUCGGGAGAAGGGGGGCCAUCACUGGUGAUAGCACUUGCUGCUUGAGCUGGGGGUGGCCGCAGAGACCAGCGAGAAGCGACUGUUUACUAAAAACACAGGUCCGUGCGAAGCCGUAAGGCGAUGUAUACGGACUGACGCCUGCCCGGUGCUGGAACGUUAAGGGGACCGGUUAGUGCACUUUCGGGUGUGCGAAGCUGAGAACUUAAGCGCCAGUAAACGGCGGUGGUAACUAUAACCAUCCUAAGGUAGCGAAAUUCCUUGUCGGGUAAGUUCCGACCUGCACGAAUGGCGUAACGACUUCUCGACUGUCUCAACCAUAGGCCCGGUGAAAUUGCACUACGAGUAAAGAUGCUCGUUUCGCGCAGCAGGACGGAAAGACCCCGGGACCUUUACUAUAGUUUGAUAUUGGUGUUCGGUUCGGCUUGUGUAGGAUAGGUGGGAGACUGUGAAGCGGCCACGCCAGUGGUUGUGGAGUCGUCGUUGAAAUACCACUCUGGUCGUGCUGGAUGUCUAACCUGGGUCCGUGAUCCGGAUCAGGGACAGUGUCUGAUGGGUAGUUUAACUGGGGCGGUUGCCUCCUAAAGAGUAACGGAGGCGCCCAAAGGUUCCCUCAGCCUGGUUGGCAAUCAGGUGUUGAGUGUAAGUGCACAAGGGAGCUUGACUGUGAGACCGACGGGUCGAGCAGGGACGAAAGUCGGGACUAGUGAUCCGGCAGUGGCUUGUGGAAGCGCUGUCGCUCAACGGAUAAAAGGUACCCCGGGGAUAACAGGCUGAUCUUCCCCAAGAGUCCAUAUCGACGGGAUGGUUUGGCACCUCGAUGUCGGCUCGUCGCAUCCUGGGGCUGGAGUCGGUCCCAAGGGUUGGGCUGUUCGCCCAUUAAAGCGGUACGCGAGCUGGGUUUAGAACGUCGUGAGACAGUUCGGUCCCUAUCCGCUGCGCGCGUAGGAAUAUUGAGAAGGGCUGUCCCUAGUACGAGAGGACCGGGACGGACGAACCUCUGGUGUGCCAGUUGUCCUGCCAAGGGCAUGGCUGGUUGGCUACGUUCGGAAAGGAUAACCGCUGAAAGCAUCUAAGCGGGAAGCCUGCUUCGAGAUGAGUAUUCCCACCCUCUUGAGGGGUUAAGGCUCCCAGUAGACGACUGGGUUGAUAGGCCAGAUGUGGAAGCCCUGUAAGGGGUGGAGCUGACUGGUACUAAUAGGCCGAGGGCUUGUCCUCAGUUG